AUGAUUUCUUCAACCUGUAUUCUUGGGAGAAGGGUUUUGGGAUCAAAUAUGGAAAGAAAUAAAUGCCGCUCAUUUUGCCGUCCUCAAAUUAUUGUUCCCGCUGGACUCUGCGAUGCAGAUGUGCGGGCGAGUGAGGAGGUGCAGGCUGUUCGACUUGGUAGUUGGUACUGCUGCCCAGAUGACAUCCGAAUCAGCUGCUUGCGGUAUGUAUCUGUAGAUUUGGAGAAUCCACAGAGUCCACCUGGGAUUAAGAGACUCACAGGGUUAGUGUGGCAUGGAUGUACACCGGAAAGAAAAGAAAACAUGAAUUAA
rnacentral:rRNA from 1 species